GGGGUUGUGGCUCAGCGGCAGAGCACUCGCCUAAUGCGUGCGAGGCCCUGGGUUCGAUCCUCAGCACCACA
rnacentral:tRNA from 1 species